rnacentral:rRNA from 1 species
UACGUAGGGUGCAAGCGUUGUCCGGAAUUAUUGGGCGUAAAGAGCUCGUAGGCGGUCUGUCGCGUCUGCUGUGAAAAACUCGGGGCUUAACCCCGGGCCUGCAGUGGGUACGGGCAGACUAGAGUGCGGUAGGGGAGACUGGAAUUCCUGGUGUAGCGGUGGAAUGCGCAGAUAUCAGGAGGAACACCGGUGGCGAAGGCGGGUCUCUGGGCAGUAACUGACGCUGAGGAGCGAAAGCGUGGGGGAGCGAACAGG